CGGAGGGAGGGAAGGAGGGGCGGCGAGGGGAGGACGGGGGGACAAAAGCCAAACGAAGGAGCAAACGAACCAAAGCAACGCGGCAUUGUUUCAAAAAACAUCGGGGCGCUUCUUUUUACAAGCUGAUCACAGAUAUAUACAAACACGCACACGCACACGCACACACACCAUGAGGUUUGAAGGCAAAAAUAGAUCAGAUCAGAAAAAAGAGACGGAGGAGGAGAAGGACGAGGCGGGCUCGGAGAGUCCGGCGUUUGGGGGAGAAAGGCAAGGCGACCUGUCGGGAUGCUUUGCAGGCGCCUUUCUCCCCGGCUGGCCUCCCCCCUCGCCCGCACCUUUCCCGUGCGGAGAAAGUCUGGAAAGGUGAACUCGGACCGGUGCUGUUGGGAUUUCAGAUUUCCGUUUAAAUCUGGCCGAAGGAUUGCAAGUUCCAAAGGGUGGUGCGCAGAGUUCAUCUUGGCUGCAGCCGCUGCCAGAGGCUGGCGACUGGGUGGAGGCGACGGAUUUCCCUGCUCCGCAUUACAACGGCUGCUUCUGCAAAAAAAUAAAACAAUGCAAAAUAAA